UUUUCAGCCAUUUCCAGUUCAGUCAGAUGGACAGAGCUGUGGGAUAUUCAUGCUUAUGUAUGCCCUCUGCAUCUGUACUGGUGCCAUGUUUCACUUUUUGGAUACUGACAUACCAUCUAUUCGGAAGUGGUGGUGUCUCCAGAUUCUGGAGAAAUUCUCGAUCGCAAGG